GCCUUCUCGAACCGUACCGAGUUCUCUCCCGCUGCGCAGAUAUCAGUUAGGGUUUUAGCAUCACCUGAGUGUCGUAGAGGCAAAUAUCGAUUGUCGCCGGAAUUCGAGAAGCAAAAAAGAUAGCCGCUGUAAUGCGCAGAUGAACAGCCUCCGAUUUUGCCGAUAGAUCUUUUUUCUUUGGGGUAAAUUCUUGCCUAUAGAUAUUAGAGAAGUUUAUGUUCUCAAAGCUAGGGUUUUGGAGAACAUCUUAAUUUGCGCAGAGGCAAAUUUCCUCUUUUACUUGAUUUCGAGAAGCAAACAAGGCGGUCGCUUAAAUGUACAGAAGAAGAACACUUGGUCUCGCCGUUCGAUCAAUCUUAUCCCUUUCCCAUGUCGGGUCUUCCUCUCUCCUUCUCUCCCGUCUAUAUAUUUCAAGCGAAGCCUUCUCCGAUGCUUUCAAAACCUCACCUUUUGUCUCCGGAAGGCGGCUAUUCACCGCCGCUAGAACAGAAUUCGCUGCGGAGGACACAGUAGAUGGCCACAUCCCUUUUAGGUCUUCCGGAGAAAAUAAUCAGCUUGCGGGUACCAUAUUUAACGGCGGCAACUCAGAUGGAUAUUUCAGAGGUAACCCUCAUAACGAUAAAAAUUACACGAAUCCCAGUGAGGUUCAGAUGAAGUUUUAUGGGGAAUCCUGUCAAGCUGGUGGUGGUCUUCACUGGAAUGGAGAGGCUCAGAAGCAGAAUUCUGAUGCCAAUGGCUUGAGGAUUCAAGGGCAGUUCAUGCCAAACUAUAAUUACGGCAGUGGGAGCUCGGGGGGACAUUAUCAAAAUGAAAGCAGGUUUAUUGAUCAGCAAAAAUCUAACUUGCUUGAUGGUGGGAGGAAAUGCUCUGAGGAAUUCUAUUCUGUUUCGACUAAUGGACAUUCAAGUGGUAAUAUUGGCCAAAGCUUGCAUAUAAGCAACCAUGGAAAUCGUGAGUACUUAUCUGGGAAACCUUAUGUGGAUGCUGGAGUGAAUAGUGGACAAGUUCAUCAAAGCUCCCAUUGGAAUCAUCCACAGUUUCAGACUAACGUGCAAUUGAUUAAUCGGGGAGAAGGUUUUCUUCACAAUCCUUAUUAUAUGGGAACACCUAGUAACAUUCAGCAGAACCCAAAUGAGUAUCACCAUGCUUCUAUUUCUUUGAAUGAGAGGAUUAUUUCUCCUCCAGAUGUUUCUAACCAAAAUAAUGAAGCCAAUAAUACAGCUGAUAGUGGUGAUACAAAUACCUACAAGGGUACUCUUGAGGAGCUUGAUGAGUUAUGCAAUGAGGAAAGAGUAAAAGAUGCCGUCGAAGUUUUUAUUUUGUUGGUUAAACGAGGAGUCGCUAUUGAUAUACCUAGAUGUUUGCUUCUGCUACAGCUCUUUGUUGAUAUCAAGCAUUUGGAUUCUGCAAGACAUGUUCAUGAUCAUAUAUCCAUGUCAGGAGAAAAUGCCGGGGUUGUGGCUUAUAACAAGUUAUUAGAUGCAUAUCUUAGGUGUGGUUCAAUUGCUGAUGCUUACCAGCUCUUUGAGAAAAUGCCUCAGCGAAAUCUGACAUCAUGGGACACUAUGAUAAAGGGGCUGGCUCAAGAUGGCCUUGGAGAGGAAGCGAUCAACCUUUUCACACAGUUCAAGAAAUUGGGAUUGAAGCCAGAUGGAGGGAUGUUUAACACUGUUUUCUCUGCUUGUAGCGUGAUAGGAGCUGUUGAUGAAGGAAUGCUACAUUUCAAAUCGAUGGCAAUGGAUUUUGGUAUCAGUCCAUCCAUGGAAAACUAUUCAAGUGUGGUGGACAUGCUUGGAAGUUGUGGUUAUCUGAAUGAAGCUUUUGAGGUCAUUGAAAGAAUGCCGGUGGAGCCAACAAUUGAUAUUUGGGAAACCUUAAUGAAUCUUUGUAGAGUUAAUGGGGAUGCAAAGCUUGGAGAUAGAUGUGCUGAUAUUAUUGAAUACUACAAUCCUACCAGAUUAACGGAGCAGUCUAAGAAAGGUCUUUUGCCUGUGAAAACAGUGGACAACAAAAAAAAAGUAAAGAAUUCUGACUCUACUGAAUUAGCAAAAAGGUUUUGUAAGCAACGCGAGUAUCGAGCUGGGGAGAGGUCUCAUCCAGAAGAUGACUUGGUCUAUGAACAAAUCCGAGGGCUCUUACCGCAACUGAAAGAUGCGGGAUAUGUUCCUGAAAUUAAAUGUGUACUCCAUGAUAUUGACAAGGAAUCAAGGGAGGAAGCUUUACUCUACCAUAGUGAAAGAUUGGCUCUUGCUUAUGCGCUCAUGACCACCCCGGCGCGCCAAACAGUUCGGAUUAUGAAAAAUCUUCGUGUUUGUGUGGACUGUCAUAAUGCUUUGAAGAUUAUCUCAAAGAUAGUUGGUCGAUUAGUAAUAGCUCGGGAUGCUAAGAGGUUUCACCAUUUUCAGGAUGGUGAGUGUAGCUGUCGUGAUUACUGGUGAAGAUUCUUCGACUUUGCUGCCCGCCAAGUGGAUACAACUUAAAGAUAGGAUUUCGGUGCUGUGCUGCAAGAACUGCAUUGAUCAUUUGAUUUGGUUAUUAGUUCUUAAGAAGGUGCAGUUCAGGUGUUAUGGGCAACUUUGGGGAUGAUACUACGGCUGCUUCCCACACACAUUUGAAAAAGAAAAUAUUCUUUCGUGGUGGGAUCUAUCCAAUGGGAUGCUCAAAAUUACUUAGGUUUUAUUUGAGACAAUUUUUUUAUUGCUUUAUGAAGUGGUGGUGAAAAACUAUCUCAAAUGAAGUAUUAGGUUUUCUUUUA